AUAAUUAUGAACUUUAAAGAAAAAAUAUAAAUAGUUCUAUGUGCAAUAGUAUUUUUAAACCUUUGUUAGUAGUUAGUAUUAUUACACAUAAAGUUACAAUAACUAAUUUGCAUCUAAACCAAAAACAUACUUGCAAUAAUAAAAAAUUAUAAAAAUUCAAACUAAAGAAGUUACAUGGAGAAAAUAAAAACACACACAUCUUCCUUGGAACCUUAUCAUAAGAAAAUAGAUAAAAAUAAGAAUACAAAAUCAAUGCCCACUUUUUUGAGCUCUAGUCCAACACCCUCUUUGACAAACUAAUCAACAUUCAAGAGUCUUCUUCAUCGCGUCAAGUUACAGCAUGAAUUUGAUAAUAUAAUAAUACUACAAAGAACAACAAAAUAUAAAGAAUAAUCUUGAGUUGGAAUUUCAUGAAACAAAAAAAAGUUGUGAAUUUAUAUUGAUAAAAAAUAGAGAGAUAUCAUAAAGUAUCCUAAAUUUUAUAAUUUAAUAGUCGGAGUCUAUGAAUAUGAAUAUGAAAACUUAAAAAUCGUGGAAUUAAUGAUAUUAUUAAAAAUUGAAGUUUAAUAGAUUUACGUUAUGGAGGUAAAACUUAAAUAUUAAAUAACAAAUAAAAAACACAAAUAAAGUAUAUAAAAUAAAUACAUUUAUAUUAUAUAAAAAUAUAAUUUUUUUGAAUUGAAUAAAUAAAAAGAAAGUAAAAAAAGAGCAAAGAAAGGAAAAAACUAUAAAAUAAAUAAAAAACAUAAAAUUUAACUAUCUUGAAUAGUUUGUUGGAAUUCUUUUUAAAUCAAAUGAAAAAGUUUGUAAUAAUUGAUGAGAAUUUGAGAAAUAUUAUAGGAAAAGAGAAUAAUAACGUUAAUGACAAAAUCAAUCAAAUAUGGCUAUUGAAGAAAAUAUAAUUAAAUAUGAUUAGUUGUAAUGGUUUUUUAUGUUUUAGGUGAAUUUUUUGGUAUUUUAAAAUUAGAAAAAUGGCCAAAAAAGAUAAAUUCGAUUGGAAUCCUUAGAGAGGGUCACAUCGCCGUUUUUAUAUUCAGUUUUACUAUUAUAUAUAAAUUUGUAAUAAAUUAAAUAUUUCACUUUUACAGUAAAAUAUUAGUUUAAAUAAAAGAAAAAAGAUAAAUACAAAUAAAGGUCUUAGAGAAAUGCCACAUAUUAUACAAGAAAAGACAAAGAAAUCAUACCUUUUACAAUGAAUUCUGGAUACAUAUCAUGAAAAAUAUUCUGGAUACAUAUUUAGAAAAUAUAUUUUCAUGUAAUUAAAUACACAUAUUUAUGCAAUUUAUAUAUGGAUCAUUUUCAUCUUACCUUUUUCUAUAAUAUCAUGAAUCAUCUGCAUUUUUUUGAAACUUUCAAAUUUAAUCAUAAAUCUCUACCUAUAGAACCUGAAAAAGAACAAAAUUUAUGUUAGCAUAGUUUUAUAAAAUCUUUACAAAUAAAAAUGUAAACAAAUGGAGGAUGAAGAAAAUUAUUUAAAAAACCAUAUGAAAGAAGUUACAGAAGAUAAAAUAUAUGUUUAAAUAAAUAAGGAAAAUGACUAAAAGAAGGGAGUGGAUGAAAGUAAAACAAAAAUAAAGUAAAAUGUAGAUUUCAGUAGUAGUUUUAUGGAUAUGAAAUAACAAUAAAGGGUCACAACAAUAAAUGUGUAAUUAAAAAGUAAGAAAUUAAUUAAAAUUUGACUUUUUAUAUGGCCACGUUUUAGGAGACAUUUUAAAACGGUAGUACCAUUUAUCUUGUGUAUUUAAUAUUAUUUUUUUUAUAAUUUUUUAAUAAAAAUGAAGAAAAAGAUGCUAAAAAAAUCUGAAAAAAUAAAUAAAUCUAUUUCCUGAUCAAUGAGGCAUGCCACAUCAGCAGACUUAUGAUCCUGCUUUAUAUAUAUAUAUAUAUAUAUAUAUAUAUAUAUAUUUAUUUAUAUGUAUAUNNNNNNNNNNNNNNNNNNNNNNNNNNNNNNNNNNNNNNNNNNNNNNNNNNNNNNNNNNNNNNNNNNNNNNNNNNNNNNNNNNNNNNNNNNNNNNNNNNNAAAAAUUAUGAGAGUUAUGAAUAUUAUUAAAAGUAAAAAUUAAAGAGGGGCAAGUCAUGGGUAAUAACUCCUUGUGAAUAAAUUAAAAAAUAAAGAUAAAAAUACUUAAAAUGUAAAAAAAUUUAUUAUCAUUUCAUGAUUAGAAGUGAGAUAAACAAAUAGAAAAAAAGAAUGUGGAGAGUUUUUUGUUGUAAAUGUUCCUACAUUAAUAAAAUAUUUAUUUGUAUAAAUUAAGUAAUAUAUUUUUACAAUACAAUAAUUAAUUUGAAUUAAAAAAAAGUCAAAAAAAGAUAAAUUAUGUUUCUCCUUUUAUUAUAAGUGAGACAAAUAAAUAAAAAAAAAGAAUAUGAAGAGUUUUUGUUAUAAAUGUUCCUCCAUUAAUAAAUUAUUUAUUUGUAAUAAAUUUAAGUAAUUUAUUUUUAUAAUCUAGUAUUAAUUUUUUAUUUUAUUUUUAAAAAGCCAAAAAAAAAAGAAGAAAAAAGCUAAAUGCAAAUGGAGGUCAUAGAGAUGUGUCACAUCACUUUGUCUAUGGUCCUCCUUUAUAUUACCCUUAUAUAUAAAUUACCCUUAUAUAUAAACCAACAAGAAAAGGACUAUCACUGCAAUAUAUAAUUGUACAUCAUGUUGUGUGAAUUGUACUUUUAUAUAGGCUUAUUUAUUGAUUGAUGAAUACACGUGUGCACACUUCUCUUUGCCAAAAAAUGAGAGGUUGUAGGAAUACAACGGGAUAGUGUAUUAAAAGUGACAAAGUAGUUUGUUAAUUAGGUAGGAGUCCUCCAAGUUUUAAAUAUUAGGUAGAAGUGACAAAAUAUAUAAUUAAUAUUAAUGAAAUUAAAAAAUCUUUCCUCAACAGCCCCAAACUUUUAACUUUUAUACUUUUAUCCCAUAUUUUUUACCUCAAAAUACCUAAAAUUUUACUAAAAUAUAAUGAGAAGUCCCUUUUUUUUAAUUGGAGACUUGUGAGGCAUUCUUACCUCAUUUUUCGUCUUAUACAAUUACUCAACUCCUACACCUUAACCAAAAUUUCCUCUCAAGUCUGUCUUCUUUGGAGCAACUUGGUUCACUCGAUGAAGCAGGGGAAAAGGCAUCAAAAGUCAUUCAUGCCGUUUUUGCCAAAUUUUGCUUUAUACGUCUGCCUCCUCUAUCUGAAUUGCCUCAUUCAUGCUCCUUCAUUGAGUUCCUCUGGAUAUAUUUUCUAUUUUAGUUUUGCAUGUGUUUGAACUAGAAGUUUCACGAUUUUGACGGAAAAUACAAGCUAAUUAGGGUAUUAUUACUUAGUUUUAGGUUUGGAUCUAACUUUUUAUGAUUGUUUUAUUUUCGUAGUGCCCGCAUCUUCAAAAUGAAUUGGGACGCUUUCUUAAUUUGCAGAAAUCGAGCUCAGGCGGCGGUGAUGUGAGUGGGGGAUGUUAUCUGCAGCUGAGCAGCAGGAGGCUGGAGAAACCCUUGGUGGGUUUUGAAAAGAAAAGACGGAAACACCCUUUGAAGGAAUCAAAAAGACAGAAUCGGAGUUUGAGGGUGAGGGAGAUGAACGGCAAUCUUGGAAUUCUGGGUCUGUUGAGGGUGAAGAGGAGAAGAAGGAAGAAGUUCAUGUACAGGAAAAUCAGAAGGAAAUUGACAACAAUGGCAGCUUUGAAGGUGAAAACUUGCUGGAAUUUGAUGGUACAGAGAGGUGAGUUUUCGCCUUUUCGGGUUUUUGUUAAAUUUGCUCGAUGUAAUUGUUAGAUUUUUCAGUAUGAUUAGGGUUGAUGCUCUGUUUACUGGUAAGUCGGAAUUCGAACUCUCACCAAAAAGGUGAAAGUUUGGGUAGUCAUCAAGAGGCUCUCUACACUUAGGGCCCGUUUGGCCAUAAAUUUCCCAAAUAAUAUUUCGGGGAAAAUUUGGCAAAUGGUGUUUGUCCAUACAAUUUGCCAUUAUUUGACUAAAUAUUUUUUGGCAAAUAUCCCAAAUUCCCAAAUACUAGUUUUUUUUUAGUAUUUGGGCCAAAUCUCAUUAUUUGGGAUCUUUUGAAAAUUAAAAUUUUACACCAAACUUUUAUCUUUUACAAAAACACCCUAUAUAGUAGUUGUUUGCAUUGUAUUACAUAAUUUUUUACGUGAACACCAAAGUAGUGAUGAAAUAUUUUGUGGAUAUGAAAGUGAUGAUAUGGUUGUUGAUAAAAAUGAUGAACAAUUGGCUUAGGGUAACAAAGUCAUGUGUUUUGUCUACUUCACGAUGUAUGGAAUUAGGGGUGUACAAAACUGAACCAAAAAUCAAACCAAACCGCAAACCGAAAAAGAAAUUCGACUAGUGGUUUGGUUUGACUUGGUUUGGUAUUGAGAAAAAAACCCGACUAUAUUUGGGUUGGUUUGGUUUUAACUAAAAAAACCAACCCAAGACCAAACCAACCCAACAUUAUAUAUGUAAUUUUAAAAUUUUAUUUUAUACAUAAAAAUAUUUACUUUGAUAUAAUUUUAAAAUAUUUCUUAUACUAUUUUAUAGUUUUUAUCUUUUAAUAAGUUAUUUCAAGUUUAAAACUUAGAAUUCGGAAUGGUCCAAUAAAGAUUAUAGUUCAUAGAUGUUGAUAAUUAUAAUAAAACUUAAAUCAAAAUCAAACUAAUGCAAAAAGAAAAUCAAUUCAACACUAAGAAUGACAAUAAUAUUGAAUAUUAGUUUUACAUUGGUUUGGACAAUUCAAAUACAUAAUCUAAUUUAAUUUCCUUUAAUAUUUAGUCAUGUAACUAAUACUUAUUAAACUUAUAUUUUAGCAUGAUUUUGUACCCUUUGAAGGAAUCGAAAAGACAGAAUCGGAGUUUGAGGGUGAGGGAGAUGAAGGGCAAUCUUGGAAUUCUGGGUCUGUUGAGGGUGAAGAGGAGAAGAAGGAAGAAGUUCAUGUACAGGAAAAUCAGAAGGAAAUUGACAACAAUGGCAGCUUUGAAGGUGAAAACUUGCUGGAAUUUGAUGGUACAGAGAGGUGAGUUUUCGCCUUUUCGGGUUUUUUUUAACUUCAAUUUCUUCAUUUUGUUAAAUUUUCUCGAUGUAAUUGUUAGAUUUAUCAGUAUGCAUGUUACAAUUUAUGAUUAGGGUUGAUGCUCUGUUUACUGGUAAGUCAGAAUUCGAACUCUCACCAAAAAGGUGAAAGUUUGCGUAGUCAUCAAGAGGCUCUCUGCACUUAAUAUUGGCGCCAAUGUUUCUACACUUACAUGUUGAGAAAAUAGUAUUUUCUGCCGGCAGAUGCUUGGUGGGAGAAAAUAGAACAGCUUUAGUCGAUAUGAGAGCUUUUCCAUUCAUAUACUCAUUUUAGUUGCGCGGACUCUUCACUUUUGAUGCCACACCGCUGUCGGCAGAGGCAAAUCUAGGAUUUUUCGAACAUGGGUGCACCAAGUAAAAUGUAUUGAAGUGAGAAUUGAUCCUUAAUCCUCAAGGUCAAAAAGCUCAACAUUUAACCAUGUGGACCAUUUAGACUUCUUGUAGUACGGGUGCAAGAAUAUAAUAUUAUACAAAAAUCUUAAAAAAUAUACCUAUAAAAUAUCUAAUUUUACGAAGAGACCAACGGGUGCGGGUGCCCUAUUUUUUGGCUGUAAAUUCGCCACUGGCUGUCGGAUUCUCUGAAAUUACACUACUUUGGAGAAUCCGACUUGUACCCAUUGGCAUUUUUAAGAGUCCGAGCAACAUAGAUGAUACAUGAAAAAGUUAAUAGCAAUGAAGAAUUUAACAAGAGCAUUCACCAAACUAAGAAAAAAUCAUUUUGAUCAUUCACGAUCAAUAAUUAUGGACGCCAUGAUAUACUAAUACUUGUGUGGAUCAAAUAAGUAGAGACGUAUAAGGUAAUACUUCGUUUUUAUUACUUUUUCAUUCUGAUACAAUAAUAUAAGUGUUGAUACAUACGCGAGAUACAAUAAUAUAAGCGCUGAUACAUUAAUCUGAUGUGCGAGAUAAAAUAAUAUAAGCGUUGAUACAUUAAUCUGAUGUGCGAGAUACAAUAAUAUAAGCGCUGAUACACUAAUCUGAUGCGCGAAAAUGAGGGAUUUCUGUAAUUAUAAACUUUUAAGGGAUAAAUUGUAAUUUUACCUUAAAAAUAUGUGAUUUCUGUAAUUUGUCCUUAUUUUUUUCAGUCACAAUCUUGCCUUGGCCUGCCA
rnacentral:lncRNA from 1 species